CUAACAGAAGCUUUUAUAAUGUGCUGUUUUAUUUGCCUGUGUAACAGCAAAAAAAAAAAAAUAUUGCUUAUUAAACCACUGCAUAGGAGAAAACUCUGCCUCAUUAUCUAAUUUCUUUUAUUUAACCAUAGCAAUUAUUACAGGAAUCAUGACUAGCAGAUUAGAGGGGAGAGAAAGAGUUAAGCCCAAACUGGGUGACGUUGUCAGUGUCAUUUGCAUAGAGGAGCUGAUAUAAGAGCUGGUUCCAUUCACUCCCCUCAUAGUCAAGGCUGCAUCUGUGAGGAAUUGUGCUGUCUCUGAGCUCAGUCCCUGGUAAGUCCUGAAUGUAUACAUUCUAUUCCCCUGCUGCUAGAUAUGAAAUCUGCCAUAACAUGUCUUAUUGUGUGCAACAUUGUAAACCUGGGUGCUUCCGUUUGAUAUUUUUUUUUAAUUUGCCACAGGCAAUAUUUGUUGCUUUUGUCCUUGCUACUGGGAGGAUUACCUCAGAAUUUGCAUGUAAAAUAGCAUAUUUGGCGCUUAUCUCAUUUGCACGCUGAUUUUGUAACUUGUUUUCUUUAAAAAGAAUACAUAAAGAUUGACAUUUAAUCUUUCCAAGAUCCAGUUUUGUGAAAGCCAGAGAUUAGCCAUGCGUUGCCAGUUAUUAGGGCAUCUGGCUAUUUUCUCCUCUAGAUUGAAAAUGGCUAUUUGAUGUUUAGCUCCAAAGAUUUCUUCUCUAUAAAAAAAAAAUUCUUUGUGCUUGUAAAUCUGUUCUGCGUUAAAUUGCAUUGGAGAAGAGCGGGGGCUGAAACAGAACAGGGCGGUGGUUUAAGACUCCUUGGUUUUUUAGCUGCAGUUCUUUGUACAGAGAAAAAUGCAUGACUUCAUCUACAGGGAGGGAGCGAGGCAGCAGACCCCUGAGUAUGCUUGAUGAUUAGCAUAGAGUGACACUGCUCUGAUCUGGCAUAGGUCCAACUUAUUGAUUUGAUCACAUCACUAGACAAUAGAAGGGCAAAGUCUGAAUGAUAUGGGUAUAAUUAUAUGUAGUGCUUCAACUUAUUUGUAUUUUUUUCUUUCCAUCUACGCAGAUAAUAAUUUAUGUGUUUUGCAUUUUUUUCAUUUUUUUUUUUAACGAUGCAUAGAAAAAAGUACCAUUAUUAUAUUAUAUUUUAUAAAUAUAUAUUGCAUCUAGUUGUGUACAGACAAUAGAAUUUAGAGGAGAGGCGAAAAGGAAAUAUCUUCAGAAUGUAGAACUUGGAGAGGGCGUGGCUGCCUAGUAACAAAAAAAAGAGAAUUUUUUUGUUAAAUUUUUAUUUUUGCAAUACACUCUAAUUUCAUUUCCUUUUUCUUUUUUCAUCUUUUGUACAGAUAAUCCAACAAAAUGUCUGACAAACCAGAUAUGGCUGAGAUUGAGAAAUUCGAUAAGAACAAGCUGAAGAAGACAGAAACACAAGAGAAAAAUCCACUUCCUUCAAAAGAAAGUAAGUUCAUUUGAAACUUAUUUUAAUAUAUAUAUAUUUUUAAAGAUACCUUGGUUUUUCUUAACUGUAAAUUAAAAUAUACUAAUUUUCUUUUUCUUUUCUUUUUUUUUUUUUUUACCUCCUUCCACCCUUUUUCCUUCUUCUUUUUAGCAAUUGAGCAAGAGAAACAAGCAACUGAAUCAUAAUGAAUCUCCCAUCACCCAGAUAUGCACUGUACAUUCCACAAGCAUUGCCUUCUUAUUUUACUUCUUUUAGCUGUUUAACUUUGUAAAAAAAAAUAACAAAGAUACAAAGGUUGGAAAACAUUUACUGUGCUGCCCGUUACAUGAACAGAAAGGAAUAAAGAACUACUGACUGACUGAAGGCGCUGCCUCUCCAUCUGCCUGUCUGGCUGGCUUUGGUCCUGGUGGCAUUGAGCAUCGUGCAUUAUAUAAUAAAAGGAUAAUUGGUGAGGUACGGAGAUUCAGUACCAUGUGGCCUCGAGUGAAAGGAAAGCUGCAUCAAAGUCCAGCGAGCUGUAAAAUGCGGUCAAAUCAAGUGAAAUUUUAAUUUGUUCAAAAUGAUUUGAAUUAUUGGAAUGCACAAUUUUUUUUAAAUAUGCAAAUAAAAAGUAUAAAACAUUUA
rnacentral:lncRNA from 1 species